rnacentral:rRNA from 1 species
GACGAACGCUGGCGGCGUGCUUAACACAUGCAAGUCGAACGGAAAGGCCCUGCUUUUGUGGGGUGCUCGAGUGGCGAACGGGUGAGUAACACGUGAGUAACCUGCCCUUGACUUUGGGAUAACUUCAGGAAACUGGGGCUAAUACCGGAUAGGAGCUCCUGCUGCAUGGUGGGGGUUGGAAAGUUUGGGCGGUUGGGGAUGGACUCGCGGCUUAUCAGCUUGUUGGUGGGGUAGUGGCUUACCAAGGCUUUGACGGGUAGCCGGCCUGAGAGGGUGACCGGCCACACUGGGACUGAGAUACGGCCCAGACUCCUACGGGAGGCAGCAGUGGGGAAUAUUGCACAAUGGGCGGAAGCCUGAUGCAGCAACGCCGCGUGCGGGAUGACGGCCUUCGGGUUGUAAACCGCUUUCGCCUGUGACGAAGCGUGAGUGACGGUAAUGGGUAAAGAAGCACCGGCUAACUACGUG